rnacentral:sRNA from 1 species
GCGGUGUCCGUGUCGGGCUUCGAGCUUCGUGCGGCGCUCAUGGAAAUUCGGCGGUUCAUUCGUCUGUUAGCCGUCUGGUGCGUUGCCACGCCGCUGUCGCAGUUUGUUCGUUUUGCUCGCUCGCUCGCUCGCUCGCUCGUUUGCCUGAUGGUCGAUGCUCGCUGCUGGCAUUCGCAGUCGUCGCAUGUUGAGAGGAAGUAGGCGCGCUCCGCAGCAGAAUCUGUUGCAGAUUCAGAAUCCGAAUCAGAGGCAUAAUCAGCGGGGGAGAGGCAGCAGCCAGGCAAAUUAAUGAUUAUUGUUUGGAGAUUACAGGCACAUUGAUUGCUUGCAACGGUAAAUCUCCCACACACACACACACACACACAAACACAGACAGGACACACAGGCACACAUCGAACCGCUCGAGUGGUUCGCACCGUGUCGCGCGCGCGUCCCAUUGCGUAUACGCAACGUUGCCGUCGGGUGCUUCGCUGACAUCCGCUUCCGCCGCCGCCACUGCAGCUGCAACUGCAACUGCAGGGCCGUGAAAAUGCAUUUGCAUUUCCCAAUUUAAGAAUAUUGUCGCGUCGCGUAGCGUCGCCUCCGUCCCAUUUCAAAUCAAAAAUGUAACAACCUUCACAAAAAAAUACGAAUAUACGCAAAUUAUUGCUGCUGUUGCUGCUGGUGCAGUUGUGCUUUCUGUUUUCUAUACGCUAGAUUCUAGAGAACCUUUUUGUUUUAAAAUUCUGUGUAAUCUUUUUAUUUUACAAUAAUUUUUGGUGUCGCGCAAUUGGAAACAAACAAACGCCCCCCGUCGCACGUUCGAAAAAGUUUUUCAUGCUAAAACAUGCAUAUAAUGCACGAGUCCAACAACAAGUCCGCCGAAAGGCAAAAGUAUUUAUAUUAAAAGCGAAACGAAAAUUACACGAAACAAAGCCAAACAAAACACAGUGCAAAAUGCAAAAUGCAGUAUACGAAAUGCCAAAGUCAUAAUCACAAUCCGUCCAAGUUAUUUGUAAUGAGUGCUCCGACCAAAUGCAACAAUCACAGCCCGCGCAGGGCCACUCGACCAGUUUGCCACUCGAGGGGAACAAAUAACCAGUAACGGUAGCGAUGCGAUCCGAUCCGAGUGAUGAUAACAUAAAUAAGAACUGUAAGAGCCACUCAUCGGGGGGAUGGGAGGGGGCUGCUCCGGCUCGACAACGCUGUCUACGAGCCAAGUUCCACAGAGUCCAAAGCGUCACACACACUGGCGCCACGGGCACUGAAUUCCAUGUAAGGGGGCUGAUACGCCUCGAGAUGCUGGGCAAUAGAACGGAAGUGUUGAUACUGCCCCGCCGCUCAGUCACAGUCGCAGUCGCAGAGCCUUUCUCUGUGGCAUAGAAAUCGUCAUCGCAUAACGACUUAAGCUCCUCGGCACAGUCAGCAUUUCUGCGAGUACAUCCCCAUUGCCCCUGGGGGUUACACACUUAAAGCCACAACAAACGCAUCCACAGAACGCUGCUGAUGCCGAUGAUGACGAUGAUGACGAAAAUGGUAAUGGGACGGAAUGAUGCCAAAGUCAUUUCUUUAAAGGUUACCUCUCAGAGAAGAGAAGAGAAGCGAAGAGAAGCGAAGAGCAGACAACGGGCAGAGCAGAGAGUCCUCCUCUGUCUGUGUGCACGGAGUGAUUUUGUUUACUUAUGCCUUCUAUUUAUUUUCUAUUUAUUCGAUUUGCAUUUCACUCGGCGUCCGUCUGUGCCUUGGCAGUGCCUCUUCAAGCGUUACCAAAAAACUCUCGAGAUUUCGAAUGCAAAUUUGUGACGUCUAGUGCACAGUCAGCCCAUCUAAGUCGCCCCAAAGAUUUCCCUAUCGUCUACCGUCUAUCGUCUACCGUGAGUGCGUGUGUGUGAUUCUGUGGGCACUCAAAUGUUUUCCUUGGCUGUUGACUUGGCUUUCAACGGGCCCCGGGUCGAGCCGGGGCAGCCUCUUCAGUCAACGCAUCUUCAGCAUCAGUUCGGUUCAGUUCAGUAAACGGGGCUCAACUUGGACAGGCGCCAGGGCGUGGCAGCCUCGUCAACCCUUUGCCAUAUGCUUUCGCUCAAACGUGUGGACACUUUCCCCCCCCCUUUUAAUUAACAAUCUAUUCGCCUACUCGUGCAAUGUGAGAAACUUAAGAUCCCGAGACCGAAAGGCACAAAUUUGUCGUUGUAUAAGUGUAUAAAAAAAAGUUGGAGCCCCCCGCCGACGCGAGUAAAAUUUAGAGCUCGUGGCCGCCAAAACUCGAGUGACUAAUUUGUUGUACGACAACAGCAGCAACAACAAUUAUGAAUAUUAACAAAAAACAACAACAUCAAAAAGUCAGCCAAAAUGCGAGCGCUGAAAGCGUGUGCGAACAUGAAAAUAAAACAUCAUCAUCAGGAAAUAAAUAUUCGGAAAAAAAUAUACAUCGAAAUGAAUAAAUAUAUAGACUAUAGACUAGCAUAUAAGCAUAGCCAUUUCUCUAUACUCUCUAUAUAUAAAUUGUAUAUAUAGAUUUCUGCAUAUAUCCAAGACAUCCCACCACCGUCCGCGGGGUCCGAGAGACUACAAAAAAGUGGCAUUAGGACAUUUUCCCCCUACUUAGUCGUCGGCAUGAGGCUCGGGGCAGGGGCAGGGGCAGGGCUGAAAGAGAAAGAGAAAUAUAUAUAUAUGUAUACAUGUGGAUAUAGAAAUAUAGAUACAGCAGAUAUGGCGGCUGUAUGCUAAAAGGCAUUUGAAGCGAGUGACAUUCUUGCGACCAGCUGUUGUCAUAUAAAUCAUUAGGUUCCUACAGGGUGUGCCAUUUCGGGUGGGGUGGGAGCUCGGAUAAGUGUUCGACUAGAACGGAGGCUCGAUGGGUGCCAGGAGUAGCCUUGUGCAGACAAAGUUUCAGCUUUAGCCCUCGAGUUUGUACAUUAAAAAUUUAUUGGAAUUCCGUCUACGCUCUUGCCUUAGGCCUUGGCCUUAGGCCUCACUGCUUUUUGUAUUCCAAAGAAAAGUCCCACAAAAACACCCUGUUCCUAGACAAACGCAGGGUGGGCUGCCCUCAUAAUUUUUGGAAAAUUAAAAGGUAGUAUUUUCUGCAGUUUUUCAAUCAAAUCAAUGCCAGAAGAGGAGAACCUCAGUCAGAGACCCUGCCAGUUCCGCAUAAAAUCGCCACAGAACACGCACAACAUCCACAUCCACAUCAAAAUCAUAAUCGAAAAUCAAGAACCAAGAACUCAACUUCUGCGUCGGUAAAUAAACAAAUAUUGACUCGAGUCGAUACAACGGCCAGAAGCAUCGGAUACUUAUUCCAGAAAACACAACAUCGAAUAACAAUAUUUGAAUUAGUGGAAGCAGAGUAAAGGAAGCACUUGGCUGAGGCAAAACUAAAAAUAAUUUUGAAGCCAAAGAAAUGUUAAAAAUAAAACCAAAAGAAAUCAACGAAUUUUCGGUGGC